rnacentral:rRNA from 1 species
CCGGAGUGAACGCACCACUGGUGUUCGGGUUGUCAUGCCAAUGGCAUUGCCCGGUAGCUAAGUGCGGAAAAGAUAAGCGCUGAAAGCAUCUAAGCGCGAAACUUGCCUCAAGAUGAGUCUUCCCUGGACCUUUAAGGUCCCUGAAGGAACGUUUAAGACUAAGACGUUGAUAGGCUGGGUGUGUAAGUGCAGCGAUGCAUUGAGCUAACCAGUACUAAUGAUCCGUGAGGCUUAACCUUACAACACCGAAGGUGUUU